UACGGCGGGUGCAAGCAUUGAUCGGACUUACUGGGCGUAAAGGGCGCGUAGGCGGCCGAAUAAGUCAGGUGUGAAAUUCCGGGGCUCAACCCCGGAGUGCAUUUGAAACUGUUUGGCUAGAGUUCAGUUAGGGUAAACGGAAUUCCACGUGUAGCGGUGAAAUGCGUAGAUAUGUGGAAGAACACCGGUGGUGAAGACGGUUUACUGGGCUGAUACUGACGCUGAGGCGCGAAAGCAUGGGGAGCAAACAGG
rnacentral:rRNA from 1 species